rnacentral:rRNA from 1 species
AACGAACGCUGGCGGCAUGCCUAACACAUGCAAGUCGAACGAGACCUUCGGGUCUAGUGGCGCACGGGUGCGUAACGCGUGGGAACCUGCCCUUAGGUUCGGAAUAACUCCCCGAAAGGGGUGCUAAUACCGGAUAAUGUCUUCUGACCAAAGAUUUAUCGCCUUUGGUUGUGCCCUCGUUGGAUUAGCUAGUUGUUAGGGUAAUAGCCUACCAAGGCGCCGAUCCAUAGCUGGUCUGAGAGGAAGAUCAGCGACACUGGGAGUGAGACACGGCCCAGAAUCCUACGCGAGGCAGCAGUGGGUAAUAUUGGACAAUGGGCGAAAGCCUGAUCGAGCAAUGCCGCGUGAGUGAUGAAGGCCUUAGGGUUGUAAAGCUCUUUUAACCGGGAUGAUAAUGACAGUACCGGGAGAAUAAGCUCCGGCUAACUCCGUG